rnacentral:rRNA from 1 species
UCGUCAGCUCGUGUCGUGAGAUGUUGGGUUAAGUCCCGCAACGAGCGCAACCCCUAUUGUUAGUUGCCAUCAUUCAGUUGGGCACUCUAGCGAGACUGCCGGUAAUAAACCGGAGGAAGGUGGGGAUGACGUCAAAUCAUCAUGCCCCUUAUGACCUGGGCUACACACGUGCUACAAUGGUUGGUACAACGAGUUGCGAGUCGGUGACGGCGAGCUAAUCUCUUAAAGCCAAUCUCAGUUCGGAUUGUAGGCUGCAACUCGCCUACAUGAAGUCGGAAUCGCUAGUAAUCGCGGAUCAGCACGCCGCGGUGAAUACGUUCCCGGGCCUU